rnacentral:tRNA from 1 species
GCCUUCGUGGUGUAGUGCUCAAUACACUUGGCGCGUAUUCUAGAGGUCUGUGGUUCGAGUCCCGGUGAGGGCA